rnacentral:rRNA from 1 species
GAUGAACGCUGGCGGCGUGCCUAAUACAUGCAAGUCGAGCGAACGGACGAGAAGCUUGCUUCUCUGAUGUUAGCGGCGGACGGGUGAGUAACACGUGGAUAACCUACCUAUAAGACUGGGAUAACUUCGGGAAACCGGAGCUAAUACCGGAUGAUAUUUUGAACCGCAUGGUUCAAAAGUGAAAGACGGUCUUGCUGUCACUUCUAGCUGGAUCCGCGCUGCAUUAGCUAGUUGGUAAGGUAACGGCUUACCAAGGCAACGAUGCAUAGCCGACCUGAGAGGGUGAUCGCCCACACUGGAACUGAGACGCGGUCCAGACUCCUACGGGAGGCAGCGGUAGGGAAUCUUCCGCGAUGGGCGAAAGCCUGACGGAGCAACGCAGCGUGGGUGAUGAAGGUCUGCGGAUCGUAAAACUCUGUUAUUAGGGUAGAACAUAUGUGUAAGUAACUGUGCACAUCUUGACGGUACCUAAUCAGAAAGCCACGGCUAACUACGUG